AUGGCGCGCCUCCCCUGCCAGGGAUGCCGCCCUCCUUCCUCAUCUGCGCCGAGCCCCGCGGCCACUUCGUCCAUGUCGCCCCGCGCCUCCGUCCCGCGAGACCGCCCGCUCCUCCCAUCACCACCCGCCGCCGUCGGUGACCACCAGGAGGGCCACCUCCGGCCUCCCCGUCUUCUGCUUCGCCUCCUCGCACCCCUGCUUCGGCCUCGACAGCCUCCCGUGGAUGCAACCUCCUUUGCGGCCAAGGCCAACGCCGGCCACUGCUUCCAGCUGCUGCUCGGCCAUGCGCCAGCAUCCAGCAGCUCGAGCGGUCCCCGGUGA
rnacentral:rRNA from 1 species